UACGGAGGGUGCGAGCGUUGUCCGGAAUCAUUGGGCGUAAAGGGCGCGUAGGUGGCGGGACAAGCGUGCGGUGAAAGCCUGGGGCUCAACCCCGGGUCGGCCGUGCGAACUGUUUUUGCUUGAGCACUGUAGAGGCAGGCGGAAUUCCGGGUGUAGCGGUGGAAUGCGUAGAGAUCCGGAAGAACACCGGUGGCGAAGGCGGCCUGCUGGGCAGUAGCUGACACUGAGGCGCGACAGCGUGGGGAGCAAACAGG
rnacentral:rRNA from 1 species